UACAAACAUCUAUCAUCGAAUGACAGAACAACCAAUACCCAAUGUAUUCUGUCAAUAUUAACUGAAAUAAAAAUAUAAUCCACAGUAUGCCAAGGUACAGAAGCAUGGAGUCUAAAUCAUUUGAUGUAUUUGACGAUUGUCAACUCUUGACUUGUCAGGCUAUAAUCCUUUGUAUUGUCUGCAUACUUGUCAAAAACAUCCGAUAAUGUUGUCAUGAAUAAACAGUUAACUAUACUGUAUUUGUAUUGACAGUUCGAUUCAUACUUGAAUUUCUUGCGCAAGUAAUACAGAAUUACAUCAAUGUGCUGUACACAAAAGAAAUUAUUAUGCUUCACUCAAUGAGUAAAUGUGUAAUGUAUUCAGCUGAAUUAACAAAAAAAAAAAGAAUAUCAACUAACCGAGUCAUUCAACAUUUGAUUGGAAAAUGAUAGCAUAUAAAAUCAGUUCUUAUCCCCAAUUAAUUCAGCACCAAAGAAUAGAAGUGACUUGAUUACUGAUUUUUGCUCAAGUAGUGAUCCUCGGCAGAACUCCUAUCAAAGUAAACUUAUUUUUUAUGUAUAUACAAGAUCAACAAAAAAAAUAUAAAACUUAAAUUGAAAUGAAUAUAUGCAUUAUGCAUAUAUGAAUUUAAAUGAAUUAACACUACAUAUCAGAACACACAUAAAAAUUAUAUAUGAUGACAAUGUUUAAUAUAUGUAUAUUUGUAUAUAUACAGUUAUAUAUAAAUAAGUAUAACUGUUUUAUGUCAAUAUAUGUAUUAAUUUUUACACUGAAUACAAACAUACACAUACAAUACUUUAACAUUAAGACAUUUUGUACAACUAAACCAAAAAAACAAUUUAAUAGUAUAGAUUUAUAUGUAUAAAUAUUUAGAUUGACACAUAUAAUACUUAUGUUAUCUAAAAUAGUAAGGUACAUACUUGGUAGUGUGUUUCUUUAGUGUUCCUUCAAUUAUCCAAUUCAAAAAAUGGCUGUAUAAAUCAUGAUUGUGUGGCUUAUGUAUGGUGUUGAAUACAAAUGGAUGUUUUGUACCAAAAAUCUUAGGCAACCUUGAUGAGCUACCUAAAAAUUAAAUAUUAAUUAAAUAAUAAAACUUUUAUAGUAUAUCAUAAUUAUAAAAAUAACCAACUUAUUAUUUUAUCAAAUUCGAAUUCAAAACAGUCAUGUAAGGAGAUAUUUUUCAUCGACCUGAUUUUUGUUUUUUCGGGGAUAGUUUUAGUGUUUCUCCUACCAGUUUUCUUCUAUGCAUAUCUAUGAUACGUCUUUUAAUAGUUAAACUUGGAAGUAUUUCAUCAGGAAACGUACACUGAGAUUCCGUUUCAUCCUGAAUUGACUUUGAAUGCUCGAUUUCAAUUGGAUUUUUCAUGU
rnacentral:lncRNA from 1 species